AUUUAGUUGACCAGUCCCAAAUAGGACGAAACGAGCGUCCAACUGGAU
rnacentral:hammerhead_ribozyme from 1 species